GAGACAGCAGUCGCCACGGUAAUACGAAGGGUGCAAGCGUUAAUCGGAAUUACUGGGCGUAAAGCGUGCGUAGGCGGUUUGUUAAGUCUGCUGUGAAAUCCCCGGGCUCAACCUGGGAAUGGCAGUGGAUACUGGCAAGCUAGAGUGUGUCAGAGGAUGGUGGAAUUCCCGGUGUAGCGGUGAAAUGCGUAGAGAUCGGGAGGAACAUCAGUGGCGAAGGCGGCCAUCUGGGACAACACUGACGCUGAGGCACGAAAGCGUGGGGAGCAAACAGGAUUAGAUACCCGCGUAGUCCCUGUCUCUUAUAC
rnacentral:rRNA from 1 species